CCUACAGUUGCUUCACUAAGCAAUUACUACUUUCUAACUUACAAAAAGAAAAUCGAAGAAACUCCAAAGCCCAACACCUCCAAAUGACGUCUCAUAUGAACCAACCGCCUUUUUGGAUCUUGUAGGAUUGUCUUCUUAACAAUAAUAGGAAAUGGAAAUCUUGCCAGAAGGAAAUUCAACCCUCGAAGGAGUGCAAUGAGAAGAAGGAAUGAUAAAGGGAAAUGAAGACGUUGCGUACCUCACAGGUCAUUUGGCUUCAUUGGCGGCGUUUUUUUUUUAAACCUUUUGGAUUCAUUAGAACAUUUAAAAUCUGAUCUUUUGUUAUUGUUUUUGCUGGACAAACAGUCACCUUAAAUGCAUGAGAGCUACUGUGUUCGCGUGAAA